rnacentral:rRNA from 1 species
AGUGAACGCUGGCGGUAGGCCUAACACAUGCAAGUCGAACGGCAGCACAGUAAGAGCUUGCUCUUACGGGUGGCGAGUGGCGGACGGGUGAGGAAUACAUCGGAAUCUACUUUUUCGUGGGGGAUAACGUAGGUAAACUUACGCUAAUACCGCAUACGACCUACGGGUGAAAGCAGGGGAUCUUCGGACCUUGCGCGAUUGAAUGAGCCGAUGUCGGAUUAGCUAGUUGGCGGGGUAAAGGCCCACCAAGGCGACGAUCCGUAGCUGGUCUGAGAGGAUGAUCAGCCACACUGGAGCUGAGACACGGUCCAGACUCCUACGGGACGCAGCAGUGGGGAAUAGUGGACAAUGGGCGCAAGCAUGAUCCAGCCAUACCGCGUGGGUGAAGAAGGCCUUCGGGUUGUAAAGCCCUUUUGUUGGGAAAGAAAAGCAGCAGGUUAAUACCCCGCUGUUCUGACGGUACCCAAAGAAUAAGCACCGGCUAACUUCGUG